GGAUAUGUGGCUUAGUGGUAGAGUGCUUGCCUAGCAUGCAUGAAGCCCUGGGUUCGAUUCCUCAGUACCA
rnacentral:tRNA from 1 species